UCCCUGGUGGUCUAGUGGUGAGGAUCCGGCAUUGUUAUUGCUGUGGCUUAGGUUCGAUCCUUGGCCAGGGUA
rnacentral:tRNA from 1 species